AAAUUGAAGAGUUUGAUCAUGGCUCAGAUUGAACGCUGGCGGCAGGCCUAACACAUGCAAGUCGAACGGUAACAGGAAGCAGCUUGCUGCUUCGCUGACGAGUGGCGGACGGGUGAGUAAUGUCUGGGAAACUGCCUGAUGGAGGGGGAUAACUACUGGAAACGGUAGCUAAUACCGCAUAAUGUCGCAAGACCAAAGAGGGGGACCUUCGGGCCUCUUGCCAUCGGAUGUGCCCAGAUGGGAUUAGCUUGUUGGUGGGGUAACGGCUCACCAAGGCGACGAUCCCUAGCUGGUCUGAGAGGAUGACCAGCCACACUGGAACUGAGACACGGUCCAGACUCCUACGGGAGGCAGCAGUGGGGAAUAUUGCACAAUGGGCGCAAGCCUGAUGCAGCCAUGCCGCGUGUAUGAAGAAGGCCUUCGGGUUGUAAAGUACUUUCAGCGGGGAGGAAGGGAGUAAAGUUAAUACCUUUGCUCAUUGACGUUACCCGAAGAAGAAGCACCGGCUAACUCCGUGCCAGCAGCCGCGGUAAUACGGAGGGUGCAAGCGUUAAUCGGAAUUACUGGGCGUAAAGCGCACGCAGGCGGUUUGUUAAGUCAGAUGUGAAAUCCCCGGGCUCAACCUGGGAACUGCAUCUGAUACUGGCAAGCUUGAGUCUCGUAGAGGGGGGGAGAAUUCCAGGUGUAGCGGUGAAAUGCGUAGAGAUCUGGAGGAAUACCGGUGGCGAAGGCGGCCCCCUGGACGAAGACUGACGCUCAGGUGCGAAAGCGUGGGGAGCAAACAGGAUUAGAUACCCUGGUAGUCCACGCCGUAAACGAUGUCGACUUGGAGGUUGUGCCCUUGAGGCGUGGCUUCCGGAGCUAACGCGUUAAGUCGACCGCCUGGGGAGUACGGCCGCAAGGUUAAAACUCAAAUGAAUUGACGGGGGCCCGCACAAGCGGUGGAGCAUGUGGUUUAAUUCGAUGCAACGCGAAGAACCUUACCUGGUCUUGACAUCCACGGAAGUUUUCAGAGAUGAGAAUGUGCCUUCGGGAACCGUGAGACAGGUGCUGCAUGGCUGUCGUCAGCUCGUGUUGUGAAAUGUUGGGUUAAGUCCCGCAACGAGCGCAACCCUUAUCCUUUGUUGCCAGCGGUCCGGCCGGGAACUCAAAGGAGACUGCCAGUGAUAAACUGGAGGAAGGUGGGGAUGACGUCAAGUCAUCAUGGCCCUUACGACCAGGGCUACACACGUGCUACAAUGGCGCAUACAAAGAGAAGCGACCUCGCGAGAGCAAGCGGACCUCAUAAAGUGCGUCGUAGUCCGGAUUGGAGUCUGCAACUCGACUCCAUGAAGUCGGAAUCGCUAGUAAUCGUGGAUCAGAAUGCCACGGUGAAUACGUUCCCGGGCCUUGUACACACCGCCCGUCACACCAUGGGAGUGGGUUGCAAAAGAAGUAGGUAGCUUAACCUUCGGGAGGGCGCUUACCACUUUGUGAUUCAUGACUGGGGUGAAGUCGUAACAAGGUAACCGUAGGGGAACCUGCGGUUGGAUCACCUCCUUA
rnacentral:rRNA from 1 species